AAGUCGUAACAAGGUUUCCGUAGGUGAACCUGCGGAAGGAUCAUUAUAAAAUUUUCAUAUAUUAAUUUAUUUAAUAUUAUAAAAUUAUACAAAAAUGUAUUCAAAACCCACACUCUUUAUAACCAUAAAAAAACCAUAUUAUAUCUUUGUAUAUAAUAAUAAAAAAACAACUUUCAACAACGGAUCUCUUGGCUCUC
rnacentral:misc_RNA from 1 species